UACGUAGGGUGCGAGCGUUGUCCGGAAUUACUGGGCGUAAAGAGCUCGUAGGUGGUUUGUCGCGUUGUCCGUGAAAACUCACAGCUUAACUGUGGGCGUGCGGGCGAUACGGGCAGACUGGAGUACUGCAGGGGAGACUGGAAUUCCUGGUGUAGCGGUGGAAUGCGCAGAUAUCAGGAGGAACACCGGUGGCGAAGGCGGGUCUCUGGGCAGUAACUGACGCUGAGGAGCGAAAACGUGGGGAGCGAACAGG
rnacentral:rRNA from 1 species